rnacentral:misc_RNA from 1 species
CCGAGUUUACAACUCCCAAACCCCUGUGAACAUACCAAUUGUUGCCUCGGCGGAUCAGCCCGCUCCCGGUAAAACGGGACGGCCCGUCAGAGGACCCCUAAACUCUGUUUCUAUAUGUAACUUCUGAGUAAAACCAUAAAUAAAUCA